rnacentral:rRNA from 1 species
GACGUAGGGCGCGAGCGUUGUCCGGAUUUAUUGGGCGUAAAGAGUUCGUAGGCGGUUACUUAAGUCAGGGGUGAAAUCCUGGAGCUCAACUCCAGAACUGCCUUUGAUACUGAGGAUCUUGAGUCCGGGAGAGGUGAGUGGAACUGCGAGUGUAGAGGUGAAAUUCGUAGAUAUUCGCAAGAACACCAGUGGCGAAGGCGGCUCACUGGCCCGGUACUGACGCUGAGGUGCGAAAGCGUGGGGAGCAAACAGG